UACGAAGGGGGCUAGCGUUGUUCGGAAUUACUGGGCGUAAAGGGCGCGUAGGCGGUGUGUCAAGUCAGGCGUGAAAGCCCCGGGCUCAACCUGGGAACCGCGCUUGAGACUGGCACGCUCGAGUUCGGGAGAGGAUGGUGGAAUUCCCAGUGUAGAGGUGAAACUCGUAGAUAUUGGGAAGAACACCGAUGGCGAAGGCAGCCAUCUGGACCGACACUGACGCUGAGGCGCGAAAGCGUGGGGAGCAAACAGG
rnacentral:rRNA from 1 species